rnacentral:rRNA from 1 species
AGGACUAACGCUGGCGGCGUGCCUAACACAUGCAAGUCGAACGAGGGGUAGCAAUACCCCUAGUGGCAGACGGGUGAGUAACACGUAGUCAACCUACCUCUUAAUGGGGGAUAACUAGCCGAAAGGUUAGCUAAUACCGCAUACGAUCGUCGAGUGGCAUCACACGACGAUGAAAGGAGCAAUCCGUUGAGAGAGGGGACUGCGUCCCAUUAGUUAGUUGGUGGGGUAAUGGCCUACCAAGACUCCGAUGGGUAGCUGGCUUGAGAGAGCGACCAGCCACACUGGAACUGAGACACGGUCCAGACUCCUACGGGAGGCAGCAGUGAGGAAUUUUCCGCAAUGGGGGAAACCCUGACGGAGCGACGCCGCGUGUGGGAAGAAGGCCUUCGGGUCGUAAACCACUGUCGAGGGGGACGAUAUUGACGGUACCCCUGGAGGAGCCCGGCUAACUACGCGCCAGCAGCCGC